GACGAACCGUGCGAACGUUAUUCGGAAUCACUGGGCUUAAAGCGCGUGUAGGCGGCCCGGCACGUCAGUCGCUGAAAUCCCCCGGCUCAACCGGGGAAGUGCACUCGAAACUGCAUGGCUAGAGUCUCGGAGAGGAUCGUGGAAUUCUCGGUGUAGAGGUGAAAUUCGUAGAUAUCGAGAGGAACACCGGUGGCGAAGGCGGCGAUCUGGACGAUGACUGACGCUGAGACGCGAAAGCGUGGGGAGCAACAGG
rnacentral:rRNA from 1 species